rnacentral:lncRNA from 1 species
AUGAUGAUGACUCCCGCACAAUGGGCCUUGGGAACUGUAGGAGAGAAAGUGCUGUGGUAUGAGGCCUUCAUCAGUGAUAUACUGCAGCAAGAUUUGAGGAAGGUGCUGGACCAUUGAGACAAGGUAAAUGAUCAGCUGUUCUAUACCAUCAGGUGAGAAAUGUCAUUGAACCACUCUAGGGAACUAAUCACCCAGAGUUACAUGUGUGGGUGGAUUUGGGCUGGAACAUUUUUGUUGAGGUAGUGAUCCCAGAUAUUUCACAUAUCUAUGUGUCUCUGGGAUAUGGCUUUUCCCCGGAGUUGACACUGGCUAAAGCUCUCAAGUUCAUUGGAUGAGAGAGUUCUCUCCUCACAGAGCUUAGGAUCAGCCUCACAAAGGACUCCAUGAAUGUCAAAGCCCAGAUCUGCAAGGUGCUAGGAGGACAUAGAGAACUAUAAGGCUGGCAGAACUCCCCAGAGCCAUCUCCCCAC